rnacentral:rRNA from 1 species
UACAGAGGUCUCAACCGUUGUUCGGAUUCAUUGGGCGUAAAGGGUGCGUAGGCGGUCGCGUAAGUCAGGUGUGAAAUCUCAGGGCUCAACCCUGAAACUGCACUUGAUACUGCGUGGCUCGGGUACUGGAGAGGAGACUGGAAUUUACGGUGUAGCAGUGAAAUGCGUAGAUAUCGUAAGGAAGACCAGUGGCGAAGGCGGGUCUCUGGACAGUUCCUGACGCUGAGGCACGAAGGCCAGGGGAGCAAACGGG